GCCGUGAUCGUCUAGUGGUUAGGACCCCACGUUGUGGCCGUGGUAACCCAGGUUCACCCAGGUUCGAAUCCUGGUCACGGCA